rnacentral:rRNA from 1 species
GAGGAAUCUUCCACAAUGGGCGAAAGCCUGAUGGAGCAACGCCGCGUGAAGGAUGAAGGCCUUAGGGUCGUAAACUUCUUUUAUAAGUGAAGAAUAUGACGGUAACUUAUGAAUAAGCACCGGCUAACUACGUGCCAGCAGCCGCGGUCAUACGUAGGGUGCAAGCAUUAUCCGGAGUGACUGGGCGUAAAGAGUUGCGUAGGCGGUUAGUAAAGUGAAUAGUGAAACCUGGUGGCUCAACCAUUCAGACUAUUAUUCAAACUCACUAACUCGAGAAUGGUAGAGGUAAUUGGAAUUUCUAGUGUAGGAGUGAAAUCCGUAGAUAUUAGAAGGAACACCAAUGGCGUAGGCAGAUUACUGGACCAUUUCUGACGCUAAGGCACGAAAGCGUGGGGAGCGAACC